ACCGAUCGCCCAAGCGGCUAACAAGCCGAUCAGUGGUGAAGAGGAUAAAAGUAAAAGUAAAAAAAGUUUAUAUGGAACUCUGCAUACAUUUAAAUAUUCCCACAAUGUUCCUCAAAAUGCUCAGACCAAAUAAAACUUUCUCAAAAUAAGUACAGUAAAGUAUCACAAAAGAUCAACAUUAAUGUAAAAGGAUAUCCAUGAAAUAGAAACAUAUUUUUUUAUUCUAUCUUAAUGCAAACACAUUCUAUUAUACAUUAAUGUACAGAUUAAAUAAAUUAUAAACUUUUGUUAUUUUUGUUUUAGGUGCGUGAGGCCAAGAGUGCCAAGCCUCGUACCUAGUGAAGCAAACAUGGCGGACUUGGAGUGUAAACAACCAUUUGACAGUCCAGGAAACAACUGGCUGAGCCGUUGGAAGCUUGAAGGACCAGCAACACAUCUCGGUAUGACCAGUACAGACUCAACUGUACACACUGUCCAUGUCCAGACCCAUAUAUUAUGACGGCACCAAUGACAACUGAUGAAACACAGCUGACCUGUGGGAGGUGUUUCGCAUAUUAUCCGAGUCAACAGAAGGAGUUCGUCUUUACGAUCAGCUCCUUCCGACCAUCUCCGAGAUGUCAUCCGGAGAGUUGAAGUUUGCUCUUGCCAUCCGGUCUCUUCUCCAGAGUAUCGUCAGAGGUACAAUGAUUUAUAUUAAGAAUAUCUUCAAUAUAAUUAGCCCUAGCAUUUCAAGUGGAUGAAUGUUUAAUUAGUAAGAAUCAUGAUACCACUUAAAAAGUUGUCAAUUUGCUUUAAAAGGGUAUUUGUGGGGGAUAAAUGUAAAGGUGUACAUAUAAAUGAAAAUAUUGAGUGUUUUAUUAUGAGGUACAGCACAGUACAAGCUUUUAGGUAUGAUUUUGUCACCGCUAAAUCUGCAUUACACAUUUUGUAAUCUACUUUUAUUUCCAAAAUCUGGUUAAACUGUCUGGGUUUUUCUCACAGUAGGAGCAGAAAUAGGCACUCCUUGAUUAAUCACGCCUCCAUCACUGUGUCAAGCUCUGCUGACCUGGCUCUGUCAAUGGAAUGUGGCUGUGUACUAUUUACACUUUGGAGGUCACAUUGAAGCAACACUUAGCAAUGAUAGGGAAUUACGCAGUGCAGUAUAUAUUUUAUUUCAAUAUUGUUGCUGCUAGUGAGUUGUACUAAACAAGUAUCCACUAUGUAUUUCAUAACAUUGUAAUUUGUUUUGGCAUUCUCAAUUUUUGUUUCGGAUAUACUGUAUAUAUAGGGAUGCUGUAAUCUAAAAUUAGGUUUUGCAUACAUCAAGAGUACGUUUGUGGCUCCUCACGAGUUGUACUUGCUCAGAAAUAUAUACUGUACAGUAAUGUUAUAUACAGGUUGCACUUAAAAAAAUCCAAACAUCAUUUAUCCCCAAACUGUGAACAUCCAAAAGUGAUCGCAUUGAUUAUAAAAAUUUACCGCGCUGCCAGAUGAUGGCGUUUCAGCACACUAAGCUAAGAUAUCAUCACCGGGGCAUUUUCUCGUAGUCGGUCACUGAGUUACACCCUCCGACUCGCCGUCACCCGCACUUACGAACGGGAUCCCAAUACAUUCACCUCAAAAAGUUGUAAUUAAACUGUCAUUAUUUUCAUCAUUGUUUAACAGCACUUUAUGUUAUGUAACCUAAAGUAUGGGUCCAGGAACUUAUCCCUGUUGUAAGUUGCGGACGGCCUGUAUUAUUAUUAACAUUAUAUUUUGAGUUCCUUAGUUUAGUGUGUUUGUUAUACCUGUACAUGCAGUAUUAUAUAUUAGUUUAUAGUUGUCAUAUAUGUAGUAUUUUAUUUGGUGCUUAAUGAAAUAUUAGGGUUUUUAAUAAUGACCUUGAGUUAGCCAACAAGUUCAGUUAUCUGAAACAUUUUGGAUUUUUGAAGUGGAACCUAUAUUUCAACUCCCUCCUCCAAAUAUUAAUGUACUAUAGGAACAGAAAUGGUUGAUUUAAAUUAUUGCUCCAAACUGCACCACACCAUAGUGCCAUCUUUGGCAUAUACAGUAAAUGAACUUUUGUAAACUGUACUGUACAUAUUUAAUGUCACAUGAUGUGACAAUGUUUGUUUUGUCAAGUGCAUGUCAUUAGUGUAACGGUCGGUGCCAAAUCAUCGUUAUUUGGCGCCAUUCAUUUUUAGAUAUACCUGUAUCUCAUUUAUGAGACAUUGUUUAUCUAAGCCAAGAGUUGUUACGUCUUGCAUAUUUCAUCUCCGUCGUCAGAAAAUGUAACGGCGCGAUGUUGAGCAAUUUGUUGCCAGACUAUGGAUGAUAGAUAGGAUCUGUACAUAUCAUAUUAAGUCUUCAACACAAGAUAUUUAUUGUCAACUCUAAAUUAAAUAUGUUGUGAAUAAAACUUUUCAAUUUGUGUUACCAAAGUGAGAAUAAAAGAUUGUCUCCGGCCA
rnacentral:lncRNA from 1 species